rnacentral:tRNA from 1 species
GGCACUGUCCCUCAGUGGUUACAGUGCUGGUCCUGCAGACCAGGGGCAGUGAGUUUGAACCUCACUUGGGCCU